CCUACGGGAGGCAGCAGUGGGGGAUAUUGCACAAUGGGGGGAACCCUGAUGCAGCGACGCCGCGUGUGGGAAGACGGUCCUCUGGAUUGUAAACCACUGUCCCCAGGGACGAAAAUGACGGUACCUGGGGAGGAAGCUCCGGCUAACUACGUGCCAGCAGGCGCGGUAAUACGUAGGGAGCGAGCGUUGUCCGGAAUUACUGGGUGUAAAGGGAGCGUAGGCGGGGAUGCAAGUUGGGUGUCAAAACUACGGGCUCAACUGGUAGUCGCACUCAAAACUGCAGCUAUUGAGUGAAGUAGAGGCAGGCGGAAUUCCUAGUGUAGCGGUGUAAUGCGUAGAUAUUAGGAGGAACACCAGUGGCGAGGGCAGCCUGCUGGGCUUUUACUGACGCUGAGGCUCGAAAGUGUGGGGAGCAAACAGGAUUAGAUACCCGGGUAGUC
rnacentral:rRNA from 1 species